UGCCUGUGCUUGGUGGUGGAUGGUAACAGGACAUCUCUGGAUAUCAACUGCUGGACUCUCCACCCUUUAUAUCCCGUAGGAUUUUCUACUUACUAUUAAGUCACUUUUGACUUGUAGUCCUUAUCUAACACUGUUUGGAUUCAGGACAGUCCAAGGCUUGUUGCUUUUGUCAUCAGGCUUUCAGAUUCCGCUGGGAGUGGAUAUGGUUGUCAGCUUGAUUGCUUUCACUUGAGUUGGACCCUUUUUGGAUUUCUGCCUUUGACCCGGCCCG